rnacentral:rRNA from 1 species
CGGGGUGCAGCAGGCGCGAAACCUCUGCAAUAGGCGAAAGCCUGACAGGGUUACUCUGAGUGAUGCCCGCUAAGGGUAUCUUUUGGCACCUCUAAAAAUGGUGCAGAAUAAGGGGUGGGCAAGUCUGGUGUCAGCCGCCGCGGUAAUACCAGCACCCCGAGUUGUCGGGACGAUUAUUGGGCCUAAAGCAUCCGUAGCCUGUUCUGCAAGUCCUCCGUUAAAUCCACCUGCUCAACGGAUGGGCUGCGGAGGAUACCGCAGAGCUAGGAGGCGGGAGAGGCAAACGGUACUCAGUGGGUAGGGGUAAAGUCCAUUGAUCUACUGAAGACCACCAGUGGCGAAGGCGGUUUGCCAGAACGCGCUCGACGGUGAGGGAUGAAAGCUGGGGGAGCAAACCGGAUUAGAUACCCGGGUAGUCCCAGCUGUAAACGAUGCAGACUCGGUGAUGGGUUGGCCUCGAGCCAACCCAGUGCCGCAGGGAAGCCGUUAAGUCUGCCGCCUGGGGAGUACGGUCGCAAGACUGAAACUUAAAGGAAUUGGCGGGGGAGCA